ACCGGGAUUCCCUGAGUAAGGGCGACUGAACGGGACUUAGCCCAGCGCAGAACCUGGCGGUCGUUUAGUGGCCGUGCAGGGGUGUUGCGUUCCGGUGCAUCUUUGCCGCCCUCGCCGCUCACCGCCUAAGUCAUUGCUUGAAAGCAGCCCCGAGGAGGGUGAUAGGCCCGUGUGGCGGCGCCUGUAAAAAGGGUGAAGGCGGGGAGGGCGGGUGGAUGUUUACCGUAGAGUCGGGUUGCUUAGUAGUGCAGCCCUAAGGAGGUGGUAAACUCCAUCUAAGGCUAAAUACUACCACGAGUCCGAUAGAGAACAAGUACCGUGAGGGAAAGCUGAAAAGGACUUUGAAGAGAGAGUUCAAGAGGACGUGAAACCGUUAGAAGCUUAAACGGGUGGAACCGCGAAGGUCGACCGAGGGGAUUCAGGUGGUGGGCGUGUGGGGUGGUAUUGGCGUCUGUUUUGAAUUUUUUUGAUAGGACCCUGGGUGAAUUUGAAUUGCCUGGGCUGCGCCUUUCCCCCCGCAUUGCCUUUUGGCUUACUUCUCCCUCGGUUUGGUCGCCGCGACCCGUGUUGGGGACCCCUAGGGCCGUGCCGGAUUGGUAGCCCGGACUGAAAAGUUCGGGUGAUGACCGGGUUUGCGGUGCCGCCGGGUCCCCGAGAUGGUCACGUUGGCAGGAGGUUGCUUUGAGCGGCCUCUCGCGGCGUGCAAGGGAUCGGACAUCCACCCGA
rnacentral:rRNA from 1 species